rnacentral:lncRNA from 1 species
AGCUUACACAGGAAACGGAGACUUCAUCCAAUUCAGAGUGCACAUUUUGUAGGGAAAAGGAAUAUGAGGCAAACCUUGUAGGCACGUUGUGAUGUUGUCCUCUGCAAGCGUUGAACAAAAUGACAAUAUUUUCCAGUGUUAUCCAGUGGACAACGUCCAUCAUGCGGACACUGCAAACAAAAGAACAAAUUCAUUGAGAUAGAAA